rnacentral:rRNA from 1 species
CAGUAGCCGCGGUAAUACGUAGGGUGCAAGCGUUAAUCGGAAUUACUGGGCGUAAAGCGUGCGCAGGCGGUUUGUUAAGACAGAUGUGAAAUCCCCGGGCUCAACCUGGGAACUGCAUUUGUGACUGGCAAGCUAGAGUGUGGCAGAGGGGGGUGGAAUUCCGCGUGUAGCAGUGAAAUGCGUAGAUAUGCGGAGGAACACCGAUGGCGAAGGCAGCCCCCUGGGCCAACACUGACGCUCAUGCACGAAAGCGUGGGGAGCAAACCGGAUUAGAUACCCGAGUAGUCCCUGUCUCUUAUAC